GAUGAACGCUGGCGGCGUGCUUAACACAUGCAAGUCGAACGGAAAGGCCUCUGCUUGCAGGGGUACUCGAGUGGCGAACGGGUGAGUAACACGUGGGUGAUCUGCCCUGCACUUCGGGAUAAGCCUGGGAAACUGGGUCUAAUACCGGAUAGGACAAUGGUUUGGAUGCUGUUGUGGAAAGUUUUUCGGUGUGGGAUGAGCUCGCGGCCUAUCAGCUUGUUGGUGGGGUAAUGGCCUACCAAGGCGUCGACGGGUAGCCGGCCUGAGAGGGUGUACGGCCACAUUGUGACUGAGAGACGGCCCAGACUCCUACGGGAGGCAGCAGUGGGGAAUAUUGCACAAUGGGCGCAAGCCUGAGGCAGCGACGCCGCGUGGGGGAUGACGGCCUUCGGGUUGUAAACUCCUUUCGCUAGGGACGAAGCGUGUUUGUGACGGUACCUGGAGAAGAAGCACCGGCUAACUACGUG
rnacentral:rRNA from 1 species